UCAAAUAAUAUUUAUUUUCGUUGC
rnacentral:siRNA from 1 species